UAACCGCUGUCUACCAAGCUUUUUGCUGAGUAGGAAUCUGGGUAGAAGAUACAAAUCUCUAAGAGCUCCUGAUUUUCCAUAGGUAGCAGCCUUUACGAGUUAAGCUCAGCCUGCUGGAGUGUUCAAGCUAGUAGCAUGAGCUAAGUUCUUGUUCCUGGGAUCACAGAAUGCUGAAGCACUUCAACAGGUACAGACGUCUGAUGUACAGCAAUGAGAUAGGGAUGGUUUCGCUUCACCUGGCAUCUGGCAAUGCCGGGAGAUGUUCUUGUUUGUCACAGCUGGGAAGGUACUCCUGGCAGCUAGUGGCUAGAGGCCAGGGAUGCCGCCAAGUAGCCUACACUAUACGAGGACAGCACCCCAUCCCAGAAAAUUGUCCUGCUUCAUAUGGAAAAAUGUCUGAAGGUGAGAAGCCCAAUGUAAAAGCUAGUCCCAACUAUAAACUGAAAAUGGCCAUUUACAAACCAGUAAAUGUAGAAAACCAAAUUUAAGAAGGAAGGAUGUAUCACAAGAUGAGGGUUUUGUAAGAGCAGAUACCAUUAUUUUCAAAUCAAAGGUGAAAGAUUGUGGGCCGGGGAGAUAGCUCAGUAGAAUAAGCGCUUGCCUGGCAAGUGCAGGGUCCUGAGUUCAAUCGCGGCACUGCAAAAAAGAAAAAGACUGCAACAAUUAGUACAUAGCAACAGUCACUUUUUCACUAGGUCUGUAUUGCACCCAAAUCAGUAAUUCUUCCAUUUUAGAAACAAAAUGAAUUUAAAUACUGAGCUGUCAGUAUUGGUAUAUAUUCUUUCCUUAAAAGUCAACUCAUAACUGUAGGCAAGGAAAAGCAUAUCGAAACCAAAUGUUCAAGCUCUCAGGUAUUUCUAGUAUGAGGUAUCAGCUGAGGGCAAACGUCCCACCGUCGCCAGUGGAAUCAUGCUACUGAAAAGAUGAGGCUGUCAGUCACUGGGCCACUCGUAGAUUUUUAGAAUAUUCAAGUAAGUGCUGAGUACUUUAUUUUAAAAGGUGCAUAGAAUAAUCAUCUGGAGGGUCCUAAAUGUGAUGUCUUUCAAGGGAUUCAUAAGGGACUAAGAUGUUCUUAUUUUGUGUACAAGGUAUGCUCUCUUAGAGACACUUAAUGUACUUUGUUUUGAAGUUAGAUAGAUCUUGGCUUAUCCUUUUAAGUUCCAAUCUGGCAUUCCCUUUAGGAAUAUUUGAAAUUCCACUAGCUAGUUUGAGAAGUCAGAGUACAAAAUUAGUCAUCAAUGCUUCUCCCAUUUUCUUAGUAUCAAAGGAAGCAGCUUGUAAAGAAGAAUAAGAAUUAGAUGCCUCCUCCCUUGGUAAAUCAACUGCCUAAUCUUAUGCUGGAAACAUAAUCCCCACAUGUGUGGAUCUGUUAUAAUUCCUUUGUCUUUUAUGGGUGAGGACAUCUUUCUACUUGAACAGAAUCACAGUACGGCCAGUGGGCUUUCCUGUUUCGUUGUCUUGUGCGACUGUGAUUUCCCGUUGGCUUAUCGUUGGUCUGUCAGGGUAACCAGCAGUGAAGAACACAAGUCAGAUGCUCCUUAGAGAGAAGUCUGAGGAGACUUGUGGAACUCAGAGCAAAAUGGUUUGCAUUUUCAGUCUCCUUUUCUAAAUGCUACAGAAAAUUAGAAGUACCGGAAAAGAAAUGGCUACCUUAUCACUGCUGAAGACCUUUGCUUUAUAAGAAAAAUAUUAUCUAUGGGAAAGUAAUGUUUUCUAUGUAAAGACUUAAGAAUAGACUAAUAGUUUACAGAGUUA